CUGUAUUUAUUGCCCUGUUUAGUCAAUGACGGCGUAACUGCUUUUCACGUAUGAAAGUAUAUUAAGUAUGGCCUGUUUCUCAGAAGUGUACGGCUGGGGACAGCCUUUGUCUGACUAGGGGGGAAUAUGUGUACUGUUCCUUUAACAACUUCAAUAUCCUAAUGAUGUCACAGAGUGGCGCCUCUGCUGUGGUCAGUUGGGGAGAUGAGGACAAGAUGAGCGGACGCCAUUAUUAAGCUCCUGAAGUUUCUUUUUCUUUGAAUUUCAACUCUGUUAACAUUGAGUACCGUGAGACUUCUUUGUCGUGUAUGAUAUCGGUAACAUGAUGUUUCAUUUAAACACAAAGCAACAAAGUUAAAUAACUGACACUCACUGGUUUUAGUUUUAUUUCUAAAUAUAAAAUAUAAUCAAUUUUUCCUUCUGGAGGCCAUUUCAAGGAAAAAAGGUUCCCUCUGUAUGUCCUCUUGAUGCCCCUCCGGUUUUCCUUCUGGAGGCCAUUUCAAGGAAAAAAGGUUCCCUCUGUAUGUCCUCUUGAUGCCCCUCCGGUAUAUAAAAGGUGCGGCUCGGAUGCUUUUCCAGUAAAGGAAAUAUUCUUUUCAGAAAGUGCCCUGUCAAUAUCUGUCAAAAAAAAGUGCCCCCUGGUUGCCCUUCCAGUACACAAAAUGUGCUUUCCAGAUGCUCAUCCAAUAAUUACAAAGUACACUCUGGAUGCCCUUCCAGUAUAAGACCUAAGUCUACUCUGCAUGCUUCACUGUGC